rnacentral:rRNA from 1 species
GGACGAACGCUGGCGGCGCGCUUAACACAUGCAAGUCGAGCGAGAACCAGGGCUUCGGCCCUGGGGACAGCGGCGAACGGGUGAGUAACACGUGGGUAACCUGCCCUCGGCACCGGAAUAGCCCGGGGAAACCGAUUAAUGCUGGAUAGCCUCACGGACUCUCGGGGUCUGUGAGAAAAAGGUAGCUUCGGCUUCCGGCGUGGGGA